UCAUGGCUCCAGCCACCGUGGCAGCUGUCCCGAUGAUCUUAGCCGCACUCCUGAUGCACCGUAGGUUCACUCUCUCGAGUCUAGCCACAAGAGUACAAGAGGUAAACCCCAGGGAGGAGGAGGAAUCGGGCCAUGUACCUGAAGAUAUAGGCGAGAACGAAUGUUAUAGCGGGCAGGACGUUGUACAUGGCGGCUGCGAAGGUGGCAGUCGUGUAUUUCAUCCCGAGAUAGUACAAGUUCUGAUCAAUCACCGGCCUAAUUCACGUUGAAAAGAACGAUCAGAUAUCGAACCCGAAAAGAGAUCAUCGAGUUUGCAGGAAAAAAAAAUUUACUCGAGUAGGCCGAGAAGAGUAAUCUGUAUGAAGAUCCUCAUUGUCAUCUUCGUCCUCACUUUCCUGUUUCACACAGAAACGAUGAUAAACUCAAAUGAAUCUAAUCUCUGUGUUUGGUCUCGUAGCUUCAUGUCUGAAUAAAAUUAUCUAAGCGAUUGAAUCUA